GGAGUGGUGGCUCACCUUCGCAGGACUGACCUUUUUUCUUUUUUAAUAAAAAUUUCCAAUGAAAGAAACAUGCUACAUUUCGCUAGCAUGCAGGGUGUUACUGGGUUUUAAAAACCAGCCACAAAAAAACCGGCUGGGCCAGCUAGCUCACAGGUAUUUUAGGCUUUCUUCUUAAGCCGACUUGGAAGCUAGCAGCCAGGGAAGACUGCAGGGGAAGGUAGGAGAGAGGGUGCAGCAACUGUCCACCUGGCCCAUGCUACUGACUCUUCGUCUGUGCUCGUCUGAAUUUGCACUGUAUUCCCCAACUUGCCCAUCAGACCUCUGUACCUAGUCUUCCUGGUGUCUAGUAAAAUAACGCGCUGCCCUUUAAGUAGCAGGAACUAGAGUUGUAGGAUGAACUCUUAGAGAAGGUGAGGAAUCGGAGUCGUGUUGAAUUUCCCUCUGCACAUAAAGCAAAGCUGCUGGAUAAUCCUUGGGCAGAAGCAUUCCCCCCUAACCGCACGGGCUUCUCUUUACACACUUCUAAUGCCUGCCUCACCUGGAAGUGAGGACUGACGUGUACAGAGGCAAGGGCCAUCAGGGAAGGCCGCUCCUCUUCACUCAGAACAGCCAGAACUAGAAACACCCCUUCCUUGGCAUUGACUAAAGCUUGCUCCUUGCUGUUUGAAAACGCCUGCGUUCUCACCUUUUAUUUCUCCCUACGAGCUUCUUACUUUUUCCUUAUACUUUGGCCCUAACAAUUCCGGUAACAGGCUCGGGACAAAACUAAUGCGUACACAAAGGUGGAUGAGGGGAUAGCUGCCUGGGAAAAUGGUGUGCCCGGGUCCUGAUGGGAGCCAGGUAAGCCAGCCUGGUGCAGGGCUGCAGGUGUGUAUUUGGUGGUGGUGGGGGAGGGCUGGGGAACUGCGCGUGCGCAGCAGAGGCGCAGGCUCGCGACCCGCAGCCGCUUCCUCCACAGCUGAGUGCGCCAUCUGCGUCUCCACACCCGCCACACGCGGUUCCCCAGUGAACGAGAGCCACAGACCUGAGUUUAUAGAGCUGAAAAGAUGGCUGAAAGAUAGGAAGUUUGAAGACACAGGCUUAGUACCUGCCUGCUUUCCAGGAACAGGAAGAGGGCUGAUGAGCAGAACGUCACUGCAGGAGGGAGAGAUGAUUAUUUCAUUGCCUGAAAGCUGUCUGCUCACCACGGACACUGUGAUUCGAAGCUCCUUAGGCCCCUACAUCAAGAAGUGGAAGCCUCCUCCAUCUCCCCUGCUGGCCCUGUGCACAUUUUUAGUCUCAGAGAAGCACCUAGGUGAUCAGUCCCUCUGGAAGUCUUACCUGGACAUUUUACCCUCUUCGUAUACCUGCCCGGUCUGCUGGGAGCCAGAAGUGGUAGAUCUUCUGCCCGAACCUUUAAGGACAAAGGCGGAGGAACAGAGAGCCCACGUGCAGGACUUGUUUGCCUCCUCCAGAGCCUUCUUCGCCUCCCUGCAGCCUCUGUUUGCGGAGUCUGUGGACAGCAUUUUCAGCUACAGUGCCUUCCUGUGGGCCUGGUGCACUGUGAACACCAGAGCUGUGUACCUGCGGUCCACGAGGCAGGACAGCCUUUCCGCGGAGCCAGACACAUGUGCGCUCGCUCCCUACCUGGAUCUGCUCAACCACAGCCCACAUGUCCAGGUAAAAGCAGCAUUCAAUGAGAAAACCGGCUGCUAUGAGAUCAGAACGGCCUCACGCUGUCGGAAGCACGAGGAAGUGUUUAUCUGCUAUGGCCCCCAUGAUAACCAGCGGCUGCUCCUGGAGUAUGGCUUUGUGUCCACCUGCAAUCCUCAUGCCUGUGUUCCUGUCCCCGGAGUAAAGACAACAAAACUGAUUGGUUCUGAGGCUGCGAUGAACUGAGAAGGUGGAGUGGGAGGAGAGCUGCUUAGGAAGUGAUUGACAGCUGAGCGGAUGCAGAUCUCUGUACUGAGCAGAAACAUAGUAAGCCCACAUGGGUGAGUGGCUGGAGCGUCCCAGCAUAUAGUCGAGGUAUUUAUGUGUAGGCUCCGAUGGAUGUAGACCCUCUCAGAGAUGCUGUCCACCCUCUAGGCAGAAUGACAAUUAUGCUUCUUAGAUUAGAGAUAGAAGAGCCUGAACUGGGCCACUGAGAUGGGUCCGUGGGUAAAGGGGCUUGCCACAAAGCCUGAUGGUGUGAGUUCAAUUCUCAGGACCUGCAGGGAGGAGAGGAGGAGAGAACUAAUCGCUGCAAAUUGUCCUUAUGUGUUGCACAUACAACACAUAAAAUAAAUACGUGUAAUAAUUUUUUAAAAGGAAAAUGCGAGCAGGGCCUUGUACAGUGAGUCCGAGAGCCAGCUCUGAGAUGGCCUCAUCCGAGGUCUCGCAGUUGCCGUACGAUGGCUCUAACUGCAGACAGUUGCUGGGUAAAUCACUGAACAGCAGCUACAUUGGUUAGAAGUGGCCUGAGGAUCAGCUCAGAGGCAGGAGAGUUGCCUGGCAUCUGCAAGUCCCUCACUGAAGGAAAGGGAAGGCUCGUUUUUUGUCAGAAUUACACCCAAAGCCCUGUUUUGUUUUUGUUUUAUAAAAUGCAGAACUGAACUUAUCAUCACUUCCAAACAGACAUCUUUUGUUUGCUCUCUCCUUCAAAAACGUUUGUCGGUUUUCACAUGUUCACGUGUGGCUGCAGCCGCUGAUCGUGGACUGCUGCAGACAGAGUUGCCAUCCAUCCUCCCUGUGUUCCUGUGCAGCCUCUUCCUGGCCCUGUCUCCCAGCAGGGGCUCUGGCGUCUUCGUCUUGGCUUGUUCUACUGUGGAUAUGCUUAGUGGUGGUGGUGUGUAUCUGUGUGUGCGUGUGUGUCUGUGUGUGCACACGCGUGUACGCGCAUGCGUGUGUAUGUGUGUCUGUGUGCACGUGUGUGCACAUGUGUAUAUGCGUGUGCAUGUGUGCAUGUGUAUGUGUGUAUGUGUCUGUGUGUGCAUGUGUGUCUGUGUGUCUUUGUGUGUGUACAUGUGUGUCUGUGUGUGCAUGCGUGUGUGUGUGUGUGUGUGUGUGUGUGUGUGAACCUCGCUUUUCCACAUUCUGCCCUCAGCCUUGGAAACCUUACAUUUUUUCAGGGACCCUGACCUCGGGAGUUGCCCUGAGGAGGACACUGGUGUGGGUCAGGAAGCACUCUUGAUUAUAUGGGGUGGUCAUGGGAGGGAAGUCAGCUGGAGGGCAUGCACUGAGUUCUGUCCUCUGACAUAAUCUCUCUCCGACCUAGAGACGCUGGUUAAGUACCUCCCAGCAGCUGACAAACAGGUGCACAGGAAGAUGUCCAUUCUGAAGGAGCGCGGCUUUACAGAAAAUCUGACAUUUGGAUGGGAUGGACCGUCUUGGAGGCUGCUCACAGCUCUUAAGUUGCUGUGUCUG